rnacentral:lncRNA from 1 species
CUUGGGCGAGAGUAGUACUAGGAUGGGUGACCUCCUGGGAAGUCCUCGUGUUGCAUUCCCUUUUUAAUUAUUUUUUGCGCCUUAUGACAAACAUAUCGCACGUGCGCGAUAUAUAUUAAUCCCGUUAUAUUAUUUUUGACGUUUGCGAUAUGUUUAAGCUCGAUGCUCAUUGCUCGCGCGUCUUGGGGCGGCUUUGUGGCGCGAAGAGCGCGUUCUGAAAGGGGUGGAAAAAACUCGUGUUGCUGCGGUAUGGAGGGAGGGGUGGAAACCGUGGAAAACUCGUCUCCGUGAUUGAGCGGGAGAAUAAGUAGUAUAGGACAUUAUCCAUUGUUAGGGAACGGUUGUAAUGGUAGUGAGAAUGUAGAAUCGUCUUUGGAGCGGACCUGAGAGUGGCAAGCAUAAGGGACGAAGACGGGGAAACAUGUCGGACGCGAUCAUACCAGCACUAAAGCACCGGAUCCCAUCAGAACUCCGAAGUUAAGCGUGCUUGGGCGAGAGUAGUACUAGGAUGGGUGACCUCCUGGGAAGUCCUCGUGUUGCAUUCCCUUUUUAAUUAUUUUUUGCGCCUUGUGACAAACAUAUCGCACAUGCGCGAUAUAUAUUAAUCCCGUUAUAUUAUUUUUGACGUUUGCGACAUGUUUAAGCUCGAUGCUCAUUGCUCGCGCGUCUUGGGGCGGCUUUGUGGCGCGAAGAGCGCGUUCUGAAAGGAGUGGAAAAAACUCGUGUUGCUGCGGUAUGGAGGGAGGGGUGGAAACCAUGGAAAACCCGUCUCCGUGAUUGAGCGUGAGAGUAAGUAGUAUAGGACAUUAUCCAUUGUUAGGGAAGAGUUGUAAUGGUAGUGAGAAUGUAGAAUCGUCUUUGGAGCGGACCUGGGAGUUGCAAGCAUAAGGGACAAAGACGGGGAAACAUGUCGGAUGUGAUCAUACCAGCACUAAAGCACCGGAUCCCAUCAGAACUCCGAAGUUAAGCGUGCUUGGGCGAGAGUAGUACUAGCAUGGGUGACCUCCUGGGAAGUCCUCAUGUUGCAUUCCCUUUUUAAUUAUUUUUUGCGCCUUGUGACAAACAUAUCGCACGUGCGCGAUAUAUAUUAAUCCCGUUAUAUUAUUUUUGACAUUUGCGAUAUGUUUAAGCUCGAUGCUCAUUGCUCGCGCGUCUUGGGGCGGCUUUGUGGCACGAAGAGCGCGUUUUGAAAGAGGUGGAAAAAACUCGUGUUGCUGCGGUAUGGAGGGAGGGGUGGAAACCGUGGAAAACUCGUCUCCGUGAUUGAGCGGGAGAGUAAGUAGUAUAGGACAUUAUCCAUUGUUAGGGAACGGUUGUAAUGGUAGUGAGAAUGUAGAAUCGUCUUUGGAGCGGACCUGGGAGUGGCAAGCAUAAGGGACGAAGAUGGGGAAACAUGUCGGAUGCGAUCAUACCAGCACUAAAGCACCGGAUCCCAUCAGAACUCCGAAGCUAAGCGUGCUUGGGCGAGAGUAGUACUAGGAUGGGUGACCUCCUGGGAAGUCCUCGUGUUGCAUUCCCUUUUUAAUUAUUUUUUGCGCCUUAUGACAAACAUAUCGCACGUGCGCGAUAUAUAUUAAUCCCGUUAUAUUAUUUUUGACGUUUGCGAUAUGUUUAAGCUCGAUGCUCAUUGCUCGCGCGUCUUGGGGCGGCUUUGUGGCGCGAAGAGCGCGUUCUGAAAGGGGUGGAAAAAACUCGUGUUGCUGCGGUAUGGAGGGAGGGGUGGAAACCGUGGAAAACUCGUCUCCGUGAUUGAGCGGGAGAAUAAGUAGUAUAGGAC